AUUGAACGCUGGCGGCAGGCCUAACACAUGCAAGUCGAACGAGUGGCGGACGGGUGAGUAAUGUCUGGGAAACUGCCCGAUGGAGGGGGAUAACUACUGGAAACGGUAGCUAAUACCGCCUACCAUCGGAUGUGCCCAGAUGGGAUUAGCUCGUAGGUGGGGUAACGGCUCACCUAGGCGACGAUCCCUAGCUGGUCUGAGAGGAUGACCAGCAACACGGGAAGUGAGACACGGUCCAGACUCCGAAGUGAGGCAGCAGUGGGGAAUAGUGGAGAAUGGGCGCAAGCCAGAAGCAGCCAUGGAGCGUGUAUGAAGAAGGCCUUCGGGUUGUAAAGUACUUUAAGCGAGGAGGCGUUACUCGCAGAAGAAGCACCGGCUAACUCCGUGCCAGCAGCCGCGGUAAUUC
rnacentral:rRNA from 1 species